rnacentral:tRNA from 1 species
GGGGUUGUAGCUCAGUGGAAGAGUGCUUGCCUUGCAUGUGUGAGGCUCUGGGUUUGAUUCUCAGCACCA